UACGAAGGGAGCUAGCGUUGUCCGGAAUCAUUGGGCGUAAAGCGCGUGUAGGCGGCUCGAUAAGUCUGCUGUGAAAGUCCAGGGCUCAACCCCUGGGAUGCCGGUGGAUACUGUCGAGCUCGAGUCCGGAAGAGGCGAGUGGAAUUCCUGGUGUAGCGGUGAAAUGCGCAGAUAUCAGGAGGAACACCAAUGGCGAAGGCAGCUCGCUGGGACGUGACUGACGCUGAGACGCGAAAGCGUGGGAGCAAACAGG
rnacentral:rRNA from 1 species